GACGAAGGAUCCAAGCGUUAUCCGGAUUCAUUGGGUUUAAAGGGCGCGUAGGCGGGUUUAUAAGUCAGUGGUGAAAGCCGAUCGCUUAACGAUCGAACUGCCAUUGAUACUGUAGACCUAGAGUACAGAUGAUGUUGGCGGAAUAUGACAUGUAGCGGUGAAAUGCAUAGAUAUGUCAUAGAACACCGAUUGCGAAGGCAGCUGACAAAACUGUAACUGACGCUGAGGCUCGAAAGUGCGGGGAUCAAACAGG
rnacentral:rRNA from 1 species